rnacentral:rRNA from 1 species
AUCUCCUUCGGAGCAUUUUACGAGGUGCUGCAUGGUUGUCGUCAGCUCGUGCCGUGAGGUGUCGGGUUAAGUCCCAUAACGAGCGCAACCCCUUACCUUUAGUUGCCAUCAGGUAAUGCUGGGGACUCUAAAGGAACUGCCUACGCAAGUAGUGAGGAAGGCGGGGAUGACGUCAAAUCAGCACGGCCCUUACGUCCAGGGCUACACACGUGCUACAAUGGCCGAUACAGAGGGCAGCUACCUGGUGACAGGAUGCAAAUCUCCAAAGUCGGUCUCAGUUCGGAUCGGAGUCUGCAACCCGACUCCGUGAAGUUGGAUUCGCUAGUAAUCGCGCAUCAGCCAUGGCGCGGUGAAUACGUUCCCGGGCCUU